UUUCCGUAGGUGAACCUGCGGAAGGAUCAUUAUUGUAUAACCGAGGUGCGAGGGCUGUCGCUGACCCGAAAGUUCGUGCACGCCCGAGUGCCUCCGCACACAUCCAUCUCACCCCUAUGUGCACCACCGCGUGGGUCCCCCUUUGGCUUUUUCGGAGGGGGGCUUACGUUUUCACACAAACUUUGUAUGCAGUGUAGAAUGUAUUUUUUGUUUUUGCGAUCACGCAAUCAAUACAACUUUCAACAACGGAUCUCUUGGCUCUC
rnacentral:misc_RNA from 1 species